rnacentral:rRNA from 1 species
ACGCUUGAAGUCAGUCGCGUCGACCGAGACUCAGCCUUGCCUCGGCUUGGUGUACUUCUCGGCUGACGGGUCAGCAUCAAUUUUGCCCCUUGGAUAAUGGCGAGGGAAAUGUGACACCUUUACGGUGUGUUAUAGUCUCUCGUCGCAUGCAAGGGUCGGGAUUGAGGAACUCAGCACGCGCCUUUGGGCGUCGGGGCUUUGCCCACGAUACGUGCUUAGGAUGUUGGCGUAAUGGCUUUAAACGACCCGUCUUGAAACACGGACCAAGGAGUC